GUGAGGGACAGGAAUGAUAUACUGACCAGCAGGAGAGGACAGUGGAGGAAAUGGUGAGGGACAGGAAUGAUAUACUGACCAGCAGGAGAGGACAGUGGAGGAAAUGGUGAGGGACAGGAAUGAUAUACUGACCAGCAGGAGAGGACAGUGAAGGAAAUGGUGAGGGACAGGAAUGAUAUACUGGCUGUCUGAAAUAAAGCAGGACAUUGAGGAGAACGAAGACACCUUUGCCAACGUGGCGUCCAUCAGCCUACCAUCAAUCUCCUGCCUUUUGAAGAGGCACCAGGUGUCUAUGAAACACAUUGAUGAAAUAAAUCACUAUUCAGGUACAGCACUAUAUACUGUAUACUAUUCAGGUACAUCACUAUAUACUGUAUACUAUUCAGGUACAGCACUAUAUACUGUAUACUAUUCAGGUACAUCACUAUAUACUGUAUACUAUUCAGGUACAUUACUAUAUACUGUAUACUAUUCAGGUACAGCACUAUAUACUGUAUACUAUUCAGGUACAUCACUAUAUACUGUAUACUAUUCAGGUACAUCACUAUAUACUGUAUACUAUUCAGGUACAUCACUAUAUACUGUAUACUAUUCAGGUA
ensembl:lncRNA